rnacentral:misc_RNA from 1 species
CUAAUGAUGAAGCGUGAGAAGAAGCAAUCAGAGAAAGAAGCAGAAACUACAAGGAAAAAGCAGCAGCAAACCUUGCCUGAGAAGUUGCUGGAUGAUGACCCCUCGCCAUCUACUAACACUGGGAGUAGCAGCCCAAACAAGAAAAAGGUGGUCAGUGAAGGUUCUGAUGAUGAUCCCAACAGAAUUAAGUCUUCCACUUCACCUUUUAAAGGCCAAAUAGA